GCGGAGUUAGCUCAGUUGGUAGAGCACGAGAUUGUGGCUCUCGGUGUCACGGGUUCGAUUCCCGUACUUCGCCCCA
rnacentral:tRNA from 2 species